rnacentral:lncRNA from 1 species
AAUCCCCUCCACACCGAAUUCCUCGGUCUAGUUGCUCGCCGCAAAGCCAGGGGCCUGAUUCUCACUUAAUUUGCACUCGUGAAAAGAAAAUUUUCCGUUUAAAGCUACCCUCUGGUUGGUCUAGAUGACGCUUAUCACCGCCCUCACGAGUAAAAAAUGAGUCAGCAUCGGAGUCCAGAACUCUUUCGAUUCCGGAAGGCCUCGUUGGCUACUUUCCACUCGUUCGACUCAACUCGACCAAGUUAACCAACGACAGCUGCGCUACAACGAAACGAUCAAAUUUGAUUAUGGUUGAAUAAGAAAGAAUUCUAAUUCAUUUGAAUUUGGCAUCAGGUUAAAAAUGUUGCCUGCAGUGCUAAAAGCAGCUGAAAGCUACCCUGGCCCUGGGCCCUAGGUGUUGGACAGACCUCGCCGACGAUCCAAUACCUAGGGAAGAUGAGAUGCAAAACUACUGGCAAUGCUGAAAAUUGAUAACAAAAUGCAUCUGUAGUUAAUUUGUGUCUCUAUACACCCGAGCUUACGAAAGGCAGUGGAAUAUUUUCAUUUGACUUUAAUUAAUACUAUUUAGUAUCACAACAAAGAUUAUCUCUUCGAGAUAUCCAUAUCUUGCUUCGACAAUGAUUUUUUUGAUUACCUUGUCACAAAAAUCGUAGUUGAUUAUCAAUUUUUGAAUCACAUCAUUUUUUAUCAGGAAUGCGAUAAUAAACAACUUCACUAUAUAAGUUAAAACUUGCAACUCUUGAGUUACGUUCUAUUUUCUGUCUUAUCUUGCAGAGAAAAAUACAAUGCGAGAACAAUGGUAACCUAAAAUGGGAGAAGCCCAGUUUGCCUUGGUUUAAUUAGACUCAGACCGCGUUGAAACACAAACAUGUUGCACACAACCCCAUUCGACGCGACUUUGUUCGCCUCAGGUAUUACUCGACACGGACUUAUUGAACAGUGAUUUUAUUUGACACACUUAUUCUGCAUGGGUAUUAUUGACACAGCAUUCUUCUACUAGGACGUCCUAGUAGAGACGACUGCACUGAAACAUUUUGAUUUUCAAUGUUCCGCAGGGCAUGUGGUUCAGUUUUUCCCUCAAAUUACUGUAGUAUUUGGGUGAUUCAAUAAUACUUAUGACAAAAACCAGUAUAUAUGCUGGGCCGAACAUUGGAUAUAGAAAUACUUCGACAUCCUAAUAGAAGAACACUGUUGUGAACACUGUGAAUGCAGUUGUGUAAAAUAAAUUUGUCUCUAAUGGUAUCUAUGCACAAUAAAUCUGUAUCCAAGAAUUCCUAACUGACAAUGAGGUAAAUCAAAAUGAGGCGAAAAGAUACACUUGCAACAAAAGUAUAAGUAGACAAAAUUUGAUUUAUUUAUUUCCUGGUUUUGAAUUGUACGAGAUAUUACAAUGUACGUACAUUCGUCUAUUGAUCGAAUAAAUCUUCAUCCUAAUUGCAGAAUGCGUUAGAAAAUAGUUUUCUGUAUAUUUAUUUAUCUCAAAUGGUUUCUAUUAUUGUUCAAAUUGUAACAUUCCAACACUGUUGUAAGACGUGUGAAUUUAAAAAAAAUGUGAGUAAAAGUCUCGAUUAAGUUUCCGUACUACAUCUUGACUUAGCAAUACAUACUAGAAUUUUCGUCAAAAAUUCAUGUCAUACGGAAACUAGUUUUCAAACGUAGUAUCCUGGUCAAUUUUGGAAAUCUAGACAAUGACCCUGAUAACUUAAGUUUCCGACGACUAGAACAACACGAUUCACGAUUUCGAAAUGCAGAUGAUUUAGCAUGUAUUCUUAUGCUUCAAACUUUGAUCUGAUUCUAACAACUCAUUCAAAUAAAUCUUUUAUGAGUUUCACCGACUUUAAAAUGGUUCUUCCGUU